rnacentral:rRNA from 1 species
UACGUAGGGUGCAAGCGUUAAUCGGAAUUACUGGGCGUAAAGCGUGCGCAGGCGGUUUUGUAAGACAGAGGUGAAAUCCCCGGGCUCAACCUGGGAACUGCCUUUGUGACUGCAAGGCUUGAGUGCGGCAGAGGGGGAUGGAGUUCCGCGUGUAGCAGUAAAAUGCGUAGAUAUGCGGAGGAACACCGAUGGCGAAGGCAGCCCCCUGGGCUAACACUGACGCUCAUGCACGAAAGCGUGGGGAGCAAACAGG